rnacentral:rRNA from 1 species
UGCAGUCGAGGGGCAGCGCAGUGUAGCAAUACAUGGGCGGCGACCGGCAAACGGGUGCGGAACACGUACACAACCUUCCUAUAAGUGGGGGAUAGCCCAGAGAAAUUUGGAUUAAUACCCCGUAAGAUAACGAUGUGGCAUCAUAUUGUUAUUAAAGCUACGGCGCUUAUUGAUGGGUGUGCGGCUGAUUAGAUAGUUGGCGGGGUAAUGGCCCACCAAGUCUACGAUCAGUAGCUGAUGUGAGAGCAUGAUCAGCCACACGGGCACUGAGACACGGGCCCGACUCCUACGGGAGGCAGCAGUAAGGAAUAUUGGUCAAUGGACGCAAGUCUGAACCAGCCAUGCCGCGUGAAGGAUUAAGGUCCUCUGGAUUGUAAACUUCUUUUAUAUGGGACGAAAAGAGGGUAAUCUUAUCCGUCUGACGGUACCAUAUGAAUAAGCACCGGCUAACUCCGUGCCAGCAGCCGCGGUAAUACGGAGGGUGCAAGCGUUAUCCGGAUUCACUGGGUUUAAAGGGUGCGUAGGCGGGCAGGUAAGUCAGUGGUGAAAUCCUAGAGCUUAACUCUAGAACUGCCAUUGAUACUAUCUGUCUUGAAUAUUGUGGAGGUAAGCGGAAUAUGUCAUGUAGCGGUGAAAUGCUUAGAUAUGACAUAGAACACCUAUUGCGA